rnacentral:rRNA from 1 species
UGUUACGACUUCACCCCAGUCAUGAAUCACACCGUGGUAAACGCCCUCCCGAAGGUUAAGCUAUCUACUUCUGGUGCAACCCACUCCCAUGGUGUGACGGGCGGUGUGUACAAGGCCCGGGAACGUAUUCACCGCAACAUUCUGAUUUGCGAUUACUAGCGAUUCCGACUUCACGGAGUCGAGUUGCAGACUCCGAUCCGGACUACGACGCGCUUUUUGGGAUUCGCUCACUAUCGCUAGCUUGCAGCCCUCUGUACGCGCCAUUGUAGCACGUGUGUAGCCCUGGCCGUAAGGGCCAUGAUGACUUGACG